GUGGGGAAUUUUGGACAAUGGGGGCAACCCUGAUCCAGCAAUGCCGCGUGCAGGAAGAAGGCCUUCGGGUUGUAAACUGCUUUUGUACGGAACGAAAAGGCUCUGGUUAAUACCUGGGGCACAUGACGGUACCGUAAGAAUAAGCACCGGCUAACUACGUGCCAGCAGCCGCGGUAAUACGUAGGGUGCAAGCGUUAAUCGGAAUUACUGGGCGUAAAGCGUGCGCAGGCGGUGCUGUAAGACAGGCGUGAAAUCCCCGGGCUUAACCUGGGAACUGCAUUUGUGACUGCAUUGCUGGAGUGCGGCAGAGGGGGAUGGAAUUCCGCGUGUAGCAGUGAAAUGCGUAGAUAUGCGGAGGAACACCGAUGGCGAAGGCAAUCCCCUGGGCCUGCACUGACGCUCAUGCACGAAAGCGUGGGGAGCAAACAGGAUUAGAAACCCCGGUAGUCC
rnacentral:rRNA from 1 species